rnacentral:sRNA from 1 species
AAAAUCUCUCUCUUUCUUCCUAGAAAGUUGCUUCCCAUUCUCUCCACCUUCUCUCUAUCAUUCCUUCACAUUCAGUCAUUGCAUGUUUGAUUAGGUGGUGCUCAAGUGACCGCGACGCAGAGAGCUUCGCAACCAUCCGAUUAGAUUCUCGUUCUUCAACGGGGUUUGGUUGAGUUCUUGCGAAGUCAAGCACUGUCGAACCAAGUUGUGAGCUUAGCUGUGAAACCCUAAGAUGUGAGCAGAUGUUGAGGAGAUGUCCCUGGAGUAAGUGCUGGAGGACGGGGAUGCUGCAGCUUAGUACUUCUAGGGUCUUAAUUAAGUGGUAUUAUUUUAGUAGUCCUUUAUGUUUAAGUUUUCAAAUUCUGGUGAUAUUUUGGAUGAUGUAACCUUAACUAAACUAUCAGUCUUACUCCAACUGUUCUAUUAUAUUAAGAUGAUGACGUC